rnacentral:rRNA from 1 species
AGUGAACGCUGGCGGUAGGCCUAACACAUGCAAGUCGAACGGCAGCACAGUAAGAGCUUGCUCUUACGGGUGGCGAGUGGCGGACGGGUGAGGAAUACAUCGGAAUCUACUUUUUCGUGGGGGAUAACGUAGGGAGACUUACGCUAAUACCGCAUACGACCUACGGGUGAAAGCAGGGGAUCUUCGGACCUUGCGCGAUUGAAUGAGCCGAUGUCGGAUUAGCUAGUUGGCGGGGUAAAGGCCCACCAAGGCGACAAUCCGUAGCGGGUCUGAGAGGAUGAUCAGCCACACUGGAACUGAGACACGGUCCAGACUCCUACGGGAGGCAGCAGUGGGGAAUAUUGGACAAAGGGCGCAAGCCUGAUCCAGCCAUACCGCGUGGGUGAAGAAGGCCUUCGGGUUGUAAAGCCCUUUUGUUGGGAAAGAAAAGCAGCAGGUUAAUACCCCGCUGUUCUGACGGUACCCAAAGAAUAAGCACCGGCUAACUUCGUG